GCAGCAUUCGAGGGGCUAAGACCGUGUGCAGUUCUGUUCUUGUCAUUUUUAAUGUCUAAUACGUCCCUGGGUUAGAGACUGAAUAUGAAUCUGAUUUUUGCAGGAAGGAAUUGGGUUUGAAGCUUGCUCCACCAACUUCGCGCAUCGUCCUGGUAUUGCAGUGUUCCUGGGAAUGGUGCACCCCUC